AACUGAUACUACCUGCGGGAACCUGCGGAGGGAUCAUUACAGAGUUGCAAAACUCCUCCACACACGCGAACUUACCCGUAUUGUUGCUUCGGCGGGCGGCCCCAGGGCGGGGCCGUAGCCUGUAAAGGCGCCCGCCGGAGGUGCCAAACUCUGUUUGUAUAGGCCUCUCUGAGUAUUGCAAGAAUAAGUCAAAACUUUUAACAACGGAUCUCU
rnacentral:misc_RNA from 1 species